rnacentral:rRNA from 1 species
CCUACGGGAGGCAGCAGUGGGGAAUCUUGCGCAAUGGGCGAAAGCCUGAUGCAGCGACGCCGCGUGAGGGAUGAAGGUCUUCGGAUCGUAAACCUCUGUCAGCAGGGAAGAACGGUCACUGUGCUAAUCAGCAGUGAAUUGACGGUACCUGCAAAGGAAGCACCGGCUAACUCCGUGCCAGCAGCCGCGGUAAUACGUAGGGUGCGAGCGUUAAUCGGAAUUACUGGGCGUAAAGCGCUCGUAGGCGGUAUGUCAAGUCAAGGGUGAAAUCCCGGCGCUUAACGUGGGAACUGCGUUUGAAACUGGCAAACUGGAGUGUGGGAGGGGAUAGUGGAAUUCCCGGUGUAGGAGUGAAAUGCGUAGAUAUCGGGAGGAACAUCAGUGGCGAAGGCGACUAUCUGGCACAUAACUGACGCUGAGGAGCGAAAGCGUGGGUAGCAAACAGGAUUAGAUACCCCUGUAGUC